rnacentral:rRNA from 1 species
GCGAGCCUGAACAGGGCGCAUAGUCAGUGGGGGUAGACGCGAAACCAAGUGAUCUACCCUUGGCCAGGAUGAAGUCUGGGUAACACCAGAUGGAGGUCCGCACCAAUAAGCGUUGAAAAGCUUCUGGAUGAGCUGAGGGUAGGGGUGAAAGGCUAAUCAAACUUGGAGAUAGCUCGUACUCCCCGAAAGGCAUUUAGGUGCCGCGUCGGA